AUCUUUGUGCAGUGGCAGUAUCGUAGUCUAUGAGGUUUAAUCGAGGCGCGAUUAUUGCUAGUUGAAAACUUUACCCAAUAACCCGCCUUGAUGACUUGAAAUAUAAUCAGCAACGGCAAAUUUUUUUGCAGUUUCUCAGGAGA